rnacentral:rRNA from 1 species
UACGAAGGGGGCUAGCGUUGCUCGGAAUUACUGGGCGUAAAGGGCGCGUAGGCGGAUACUUAAGUCGGGGGUGAAAGCCCGGGGCUCAACCUCGGAAUUGCCUUCGAUACUGGGUAUCUAGAGUAUGGGAGAGGUGUGUGGAACUCCGAGUGUAGAGGUGAAAUUCGUAGAUAUUCGCAAGAACACCAGUGGCGAAGGCGGCUCACUGGCCCGGUACUGACGCUGAGGUGCGAAAGCGUGGGGAGCAAACAGG